rnacentral:rRNA from 1 species
GUAGGUGGCAAGCGUUGUCCGGAAUUAUUGGCGUAAAGCGCGCGCAGGCGGGUCCUUUAAGUCUGAUGUGAAAGCCCACGGGCUCAACCGUGGAGGGUCAUUGGAAACUGGGGGACUUGAGUACAGAAGAGGAAAGCGGAAUUCCAAGUGUAGCGGUGAAAUGCGUAGAGAUUUGGAGGAACACCAGUGGCGAAGGCGGCUUUCUGGUCUGUAACUGACGCUGAGGCGCGAAAGCGUGGGGAGCAAACAGGAUUAGAUACCCUGGUAGUCCACGCCGUAAACGAUGAGUGCUAAGUGUUAGGGGGUUUCCGCCCCUUAGUGCUGCAGCUAACGCAUUAAGCACUCCGCCUGGGGAGUACGGCCGCAAAGGCUG